AGCAGCCGCGGUAAUUCCAGCUCCAAUAGCGUAUAUUAAAGUUGUUGCAGUUAAAAGCUCGUAGUUGAACUUCGGGGUUUACUCAUUGGUCAGGCUUAAUUGUCUGUACUGGUGAGAUGAAUCUCUACCUUCUGAGGAACUUUCAUGCCAUUUAUUUGGUGUGAUUGGAAAUCAGGACUGUUACUUUGAAAAAUUGAGUGUUUAAAGCAGGCUAACGUCUGAAUACAUUAGCAUGGAAUAAUAGAAAUAGGAC
rnacentral:misc_RNA from 1 species